rnacentral:rRNA from 1 species
UAACGCGUGAGAAUCUGCCUUCAGGUUGGGGACAACAGUUGGAAACGACUGCUAAUACCCAAUGUGCCGAGAGGUGAAAGCUUUAGUGCCUGAAGAUGAGCUCGCGUCUGAUUAGCUAGUUGGUGGGGUAAUGGCCCUACCAAGGCGACGAUCAGUAGCUGGUCUGAGAGGAUGAUCAGCCACACUGGGACUGAGACACGGCCCAG